rnacentral:lncRNA from 1 species
AUAAUCUGAUUGCUGCCUUUUUCCUCUGUAACUGUUCUUUUCUGUUUUUUGAUUGCGUUACACUGUUGCACUGCAUUACCAGCCAGUGCUGGACAUUAAACUCAUGUUACAUUAAUGUGGCGCUAAAAUUACGCUAACAUUGUACUAAUGUUAUGCUAGCGUUAUUUUAACAUUUCAUAUUUAAACACAUUGUACUGCGCGAGUUUCUGAAGCUUCGGAACUCUUCGCCAUCGCCAUGACAAUAUGGCCGUAGCUUCAGCUAGCGUUCCGUGGUGACAUCAUCAGCCCACAGUAUCUAAGGACUCGUCACUCAGUAUUCAAAUCAGAGAGUGUGACUCUUCUUCUAUAGACACACAUCAGAUCUAUUUCUGAGAACUAAAGAUGGAUUUUGGAAAAGAGGAGAAGUUUCGUCUCCCAGAAAUUGUGCCCUGGGUCCACGGACUUCCUCUAAUGAGGCACAAGACUAAAGCUCCACAUUGGUCCCUGGGGCAUCUACACAUGCCCAGUCCACCACCAGCAAAACCUGCUGUCAAAAACACCGGCAGCAGGUUUCCUCCAAUCAAAGGGCUGGAGCCAAAAUGGAGCGGAGCUAUGGAGAACUCCUCCUUUAGAGAAGAGUUUACUUCAAGGCCCCUCCAUUUCCAGCCAACUCCUCCACCUGAGCCUCUGCCUUUCACUGCUACCCAACCAGUGGUGGUAAAUAAACCAACGGCCUACAAUUCACCAGGUAGCAGGAUACCAAGUCUGGACAGGCGGAGGAAGCUGAGGCCAGUCCAAGCUGUGGUGCAGCCCAUUAAGAACAUGGCUACCCCCAGUGUGAUAAAGGACGAACCAGCCCAGGUGGA